AUUGAACGCUGGCGGCAUGCCUUACACAUGCAAGUCGAACGGUAACAGGUCUUCUGACGCUGCCGAGUGGCGUACGGGGGAGUAAUGCAUCGGAACGUGCCCAGUCGUGGGGGAUAACUGCUCGAAAGAGCAGCUAAUACCGCAUACGACCUGAGUGUGAAAGCGGGGGACCGUAAGGCUUCGCGCGAUUGGAGCGGACGAUGUCAGAUUAGCUAGGUGGUGGGGUAAAGGCCUACCAAGGCAACGAUCUGUAGUUGGUCUGAGAGGACGACCCGCCACACUGGCACUGAGAAAGGGCACAGACUCCUACGGGAGGAAACAGUGGGGAAUUUUGCGCGAUGGGGGCGAGCCUGAUCCAGCAAUGCCGCGUGCAGGAUGAAGGACUUCUGGUGGUAGAGUGCUGUUGUCAGGGAAGAAGUAAUCUGGGCUAAUACGCCAGGAGAAUGACGGUACCUGAAGAAUAAGCACCGGCUAACUACGUG
rnacentral:rRNA from 1 species